rnacentral:lncRNA from 1 species
GCGGGAAAAAAGGUUACAAAUAAAUAAAACGGAGGCGGCAAUCAGAGAUUGGGGGCUUGAGCAAGGAGAGAGAGACGGAGUUAGAGUGAUGGGCAGGUAGAGAGAGACGGAGUGAGAUAGUGACGGGCAGGUAGAGAGAGAGAGGGAGUGAGAGAGUGACGGGCAGGUAGAGCGAGAGAGAGGGAGUGAGAAUGACAGGCAGGUAGAGAGAGAGCUACAGAAAGAAAGCAGAGCAGGUUAAUCUCAUAAUUCUGUAGUGUCUUGGUAGAAUAGAAUAUCUUAUUUUUCAUGCCCACUAACUACUACUACACUGGGUGAGAGUAGGUUAGAAC